UUGGAGGGCAAGUCUGGUGCCAGCAGCCGCGGUAAUUCCAGCUCCAAUAGCGUAUAUUAAAGUUGUUGCAGUUAAAAAGCUCGUAGUUGAAUUUCGGGGUCAGUAGGUUGGUCAUGCCACUGGUAUGUACUGGUCUCACUGAUUCCUCCUUCCUGAUGAGCCGUAAUGCCAUUAAUUUGGUGUUGCGGGGAAUCUGGACUGUUACUUUGAAAAAAUUAGAGUGUUUAAAGCAGGCUAACGCCUGAAUACAUUAGCAUGGAAUAAUGAAAUAGGACGUUCGAUCCUAUUUUGUUGGUUUCUAGGAUUGACGUAAUGAUUAAUAGGGAUAGUUGGGGGCAUUAGUAUUCAAUUGUCAGAGGUGAAAUUCCUGGAUUUAUUGAAGACUAACUACUGCGAAAGCAUUUGCCAAGGAUGUUUUCAUUAAUCAAGAACGAAAGUUAGGGGAUCGAAAACGAUCAGAUACCGUCGUAGUCUUAACCAUAAACUAUGCCGACUAGGGAUCGGAUGAUGUUAAUUUUUUAAUGACUCAUUCGGCGCCUUACGGGAAAC
rnacentral:rRNA from 1 species